UACGGAGGAUGCGAGCGUUAUCCGGAUUUAUUGGGUUUAAAGGGUGCGUAGGCGGCUUUUUAAGUCAGCGGUGAAAUUUUGCAGCUCAACUGUAAAAGUGCCUUCGAAACUGGUUUCCUUGAGUGUAGAUGAAGUAGGCGGAAUUUGUGGUGUAGCGGUGAAAUGCAUAGAUAUCACGAGGAACUCCGAUUGCGCAGGCAGCUUACUAAACUACUACUGACGCUCAGGCACGAAGGCGUGGGGAUCAAACAGGAUUAGAUACCCUGGUA
rnacentral:rRNA from 1 species